AGCUCUGCGUAGGUGACCUGCGCGAGGGAUCAUUACACAACGAAAAUAUGAAGGCUUUGGCUUCGCGGCCGGCUGAAAUAUUUUUUUCACCCAUGUCUUUUGCGCACUUGUUGUUUCCUGGGCGGGUUCGCCCGCCACCAGGACCAAACCAUAAACCUUUUUUUUAAUGCAGUUGCAAUCAGCGUCAGUAAAAAACAAUGUAAUUAUUACAACUUUCAACAACGGAUCUCUUGGUUCUGGCAUCGAUGAAGAACGCAGCGAAAUGCGAUACGUAGUGUGAAUUGCAGAAUUCAGUGAAUCAUCGAAUCUUUGAACGCACAUUGCGCCCUUUGGUAUUCCAAAGGGCAUGCCUGUUCGAGCGUCAUUUGUACCUUCAAGCUUUGCUUGGUGUUGGGCGUUUUUUGUCUCCCUCUUGCUGGGAGACUCGCCUUAAAACGAUUGGCAGCCGGCCUACUGGUUUCGGAGCGCAGCACAUAUUUUGCACUCUGUGUCAGGAGAAAAGGACGGUAAUCCAUCAAGACUCUACAAAUUUUAACUUUUGACCUCGGAUCAGGUAGGGAUACCCGCUGAACUUAAGCAUAUCAAUAAGCCGGAGGAAACCUCC
rnacentral:rRNA from 1 species